rnacentral:lncRNA from 1 species
GGACCUUUAAAUCUUUUUGGUAAUGGUAUGGUGCCAGUACGUUUUAGCAAGCUAACUGUUUGAAACUUCUAUAAAACAACAAACUUGUCAGCGUUGGAGUUUUAACACAUUUGCAAUUGCACGUUGGAAUGUAAUGUACCUAGGCAGUUUAACCAUUUCUAUCAUGUCUUUUUCUUUUCUUUUCUUUUUUUUUGCUUUUUAGUUAUGGUCGAACCGUAUGGAGAUUGCCUACAUAUCAUGACCCUGCAUGAAUCAGAUAUUGUGUAGUUCGGGCAAAUAAAAGGCAAACAACAAUGCAAGAGUUUUUGGAAUUUUUAAUUUUCAAAAUAAAACAAACUUGAUUACAAUGGUUUAAAAACUGGUCAUAAUAACAAAUUUUGAUGAAAAGACAACAUACAGACUCUAAAAUCAAACAACCUGCAUACUCUAAUUAAAAGAAUUUCAACCAACAACAAACGACCAACUCCCUUUCCUUGUUUGCGUUUUCCAACCAAAUGGCUAUUUUUGCAAACGUGGCCCCUUCCCAAUUUCACAUGAAUUUUGAGGCCGGGGAGGAUUAUUUCAUGACAUUAUACAAACUUGUCCAUUCUUCUAUGAAAACAACAUUUCGAUAACUAAAAGAUACUCUAAGGGUAUCUAGGCAAGGACGGUUUAAGACACUGCCGAAGCAGGCUCGGCUUAUUUCGACCCAGAAAUCUAAACGGCAUUCACUUUUCGACUCUUAUUUUUUUCAAAUUAAAAUAAAAGAAUGCAAACACGGCCUUUCAGUGCCUCGGGGAUGAAUAUUUUAAGGCUGUGUGGGUCAACUCGCCAAAAAUUUAAAUAGUGACCCAAAGAUGGUUAUUUAUGCAAAGUCAGUCUUCCAGCAUCCCUUUCGGGAACAUAUGGCUAUUAUGACAAAACAACAUCACCGACUUAUUUACGACUCUUUUCUUGUUUUAUUAAUAGAAAACUCGUUAUUUGAAAACAAGGCCUUUCAGCGCCUUGGGGACGAAGAUUCUAAGGAUGUGUGGGUCAAUCGACCAAAAUCUAAAAUAAAAUAACCAAAGGUGGCCGUUUAUGCGAAGUCAACCUUCCAUCAUACCUUUUGGGAAUAUUCGGCUAUAUUUGACAAAUGCGGUAUCGCCUGACUUAUUUACGACAAACAUUAAAUUUUUUGACACAUUUGUUUUUGCUAUUUUUUACAAAGGGGAAGUUGGACCCGAUAAGGGUUGUCUACGUUUCUCACAACCUCUGAGAAUCAAACCGGCGUAGUUUGCCAAUGAAAAUAAACUACCUUUAAAAACAAAACUCUUUUCUUUUAUUAUUUUUUUGUUUUUGUUUCUUUUCAAAUAAAUCAUCUAAAAACAAUUUUCUUUCUUUUUGUUUUUUUCAAAUUUUUGGCAGAGUUUCGACACUACUUGGGCAUUGAUUUUUCUAAAACUGAGUAAUUAUCUCUCUACACUGCUAUUUUUCUUAUUAUCUUUUUCAAAAAUCUUUUUUUAAAUCUCAAUUUCAAAAGUCGGCCAGCAUGCAAGUCUGAAGCAAAUAAAUGCGUAAAACAAAUAGGAUGCAGCAGGAUGGUCUUUUUUUGUUUCAGGUUGCUUGUCUUAGACGGACCCAACCCCUAUGUUGAGUCCCCUAAGUCAAAUGCAACAUGAUGCAAAUAAACGUUCCUACUAGGGAUCCGGCAUGAAGAUUUGUUAUAUUAGGUUAAAACCUGGAUUUAUUAUUCUAGACCUGGCUUACCUGAGCGGACAACUCGAGCCGAGAAUGGGAACUGUAUCCCGGUAACCAAAAGGACAGCCGGUUUUGGAACUCCACCGAAUCAUUGUUCUAUUUGGGAUAAUGACACUAAUAGAAAGAAGUCACGACCAGCGUCCAUUCCUUAAGAUAGAGAGAAGAGAUGGGUUUCAGCACAAUUUAUGCGUACAGUUCAAAUAAUAUCAAAGGGACAAAGCAAGAUCAUAUAAAAAUAUCAGAUAAUUGACAAAGCCAAACACAACAAUUAUUCUAAGCUCGAAUUUCUAACCCUGAACCGAUGGUUCUAGGUUAAAAUUAUCCCCAGCAGAGUCGCCAGAGGUGUCACACUUCCUUUUUCCGCCACCGCUAGGGCGCAAGGGUUAAGGGAGGUUUUCUAAAUAAAUGACAAUCGAAACGGGGUUUAUUAUUAAGAUUUAGAGUCGCCACUUGGGAGAUUAUGGUGUCCCAAGUCACCGAUUGAAUCCCGAAUCGAGGAAAAUAAUGACUCUAUGUUACAGUCUGCGUACCAGAAAUCCGGAUAAGAAAUUCUGUUAACCCGGGAGAAGGUGUUAGGCACUCCCAAGUUUCGUGGUUCUAGCACGGUCUCUCAACUAUUAUGUUCGGCUUAUUUAUCUGAUUUUAACAAUUAUGUACUUAGUGCAAGUCAUGAUUCUUUUAACCGUUUUUCUUAUUAUUAUUAUUUUAAUAAAGCUAAAGCUUAAAGGGAAUGAAAAAGCCAAAGCUAAAGUAAAAAGUAAAAGUUAAGCCAAAGUAAAAAUUUUGAAGCAAAAGUUAAAGUUAAAGUUAAAGUAAAAGUAAAAGUAAAAGCAAAAGUAAAAAUUAAAGUAAAAGUGAAAGUUAAAGUAAAAGUAAAAGUUAAAGCAAAAGUUAAAGUUAAAACAAAAGUUAAAAUUAUAGCAAAAGUUAAAGCAAAAAGGGUGUUAUUAUUUUAAGAGAGAAUUGCAACGUCGUGAAAACGUAUUUCUAACCACGUCACAACCAGUGUACACGUGGUCGUCGACACAUUUCGACUCCAUUGAGAUUUGGAUUUGGGUCACAUAAAUGUGCAGCCGGAUUUAGGGAGAUAACAUUAUUAAAUACGCGCCUAAGGAUUCUAACGCGUUAUUAUUUUGAGAAUGUCGUGAUAUUCGCUAAACAGCAUGUCCCGCAGUCUAAAUAUUUUUAAUAUAUACAUUUAUGAGUGCCCCGCAACUUGUGAGUUUUAUUUGGCGAAACUUGUCUCAUUUUAUUAUUUAAGAGUAUUUAAACUUAAAAAGCUACUUGUUAUCUACUAUGGCUCAUCUCCAAUAAUAUCAACGACCUACCAGAAACAAGAGUAAUCGAACUACCUUAUUCAAACAAUAUCGGCAACACAUUCCGACUGCGUUAAGACUUGGAUUUGGGCACAUCAAUGUACACCCGGGUUUAAGAAGGUAAUGUAAUUAAAAUACGCACCUAAAGAGUCUAACGCUUUAUUAUUUUGGGGAAGGCCAAUUAGCAAUACGGCACAUCCCGGAGUCUAAGUAUUUUUAAUAUAUACAUUUAUGAGGGCCCCACAAUUUUGCAUUUCUUUUUGCGAGGCUAAUCUCAUUUUUAUUAUUUAAAAGGACAACCUUAAGGCGAUUACGAUUUCUACUUUGCGAGGGCCAUAAAAAAUUCAACCAAUGACACACUUCGAUUUCUAAAGAGUUUUAUUAAUAAAAUCAAGUAUCACGGCAAUGAGCGCAUUUGACAAUGACAAUUAGUUACACUUACUAAAUAGCUUCUAUCCGCCACCCCAUACAAUUAUCACGUGCCUCCUAAUUUUGACUAACCCAAACACCAAAAAUAUCAUAGAAAAUAUUUCCUAAACUAAAAUAUGCAUACAUUUUCUCACAUAGCUAACUCACAAGAUCUGGACAAAGGGAAACAUGGAGGAAGAUGAUACUAAUUCAAAUUAAGUGAAGCUUUGACAAAUAAUUAAGUGAAGCCCUCAAUCAAUAAUAACUAUAAGUUGCAUCAUAGUUUACCUAAUACACCGGCAGUCAUACGUUUCCAGCAAAUUCGAGCCCCAAAACGUCAACACACAAUUUUAGUAGUAGGCUACUAGUUCUCCAAUAUAUACACUGUUAAACACUGGAAAUUCAAAUAACUAGAGCAAUCGUAAUACGUAAGCUAAACACACAAUUAGUCAUUGGUCUAAGAACAAAACCCGAACAAAAAUGCAACUUAAAAAAAUCUCAAUAUUUAUCAACACCUCAACUGAUGGACGAAUUGAUCCUAAAUGAAUGGAUAAGCAACGACUAAAAUGUUAAACAAUAACAAAAGAAAUGACAAAUCAUGAUUAUCUGUGUCGAGCAAAUGUACAGAGCAUAAAAAUGAUUUCAAACAAAUUAUUGCAACGAGAAAAGGAACGGACCUUAAAACAAAGUCAAUUUCGAAUCUGAAAAUACUUAUCACUGGAAACCUUAGGCAGGGGCAAACUCGAUGGACCUCAGACAACGACCUCCGGCAAACUUGAACGGCGAAUCCAACAAACAGAACCUCGUUAGCAGCCACGAACAACCAUAUUAUCGUGUUUUCAAAUUCCGUCAAGCUACUACCGAAGAUUUCUUUACCCAGGAUAUGCGCGUGUGUGUGUGGGUAUAUUGGGGUGCGUCAAUGGAUGACGAGGUGAAGCAGCAGCAGCUAGUGGGUCUGCUGAUCGGUGAACUGCGGCUGAUGCAUUUGUUUCUGUCGGAUUUCCGGUGAGCUCGUUGGUGAGCUGGUUAUCGCGAAGGAGUCAUUUGUUAAGGGAGAUGGGGUGCUGAGUUUGACGUGAAGAAAGGCGAGGUAGUUGGUGGUUAGUUUAGGAGAUGGCUGCUGCGGGUGGUUGACGACGCAGCAGUUGGUUCAGUGAAGAAGACAAAGCACGACAGGGGCUGGUCGUGGGGGAUUAUUUUUGGUUGCUGAUGGGCGGGGGUUAUGGUGAUGCUAGGGUUUUUCCAUGUUAGUUCUUUAGGGUUUUUUAGUUGGAGAAGAUGAAGUCCUCUUCAUUGUGUCUAAGGUCUAAGGUGUAAGGAUCUGUCCAAACUCUCCGGGCCUCUUACGG